GUGCUCACUUUGGCAGCACAUAUACUAAAAUUAGAAUGAUACAAAGAAGAUUAGCAUGGCCCCUGCACAAGGAUGACAUGCAAAUUCAUGAAGCGUUCCAUAUUUAA
rnacentral:snRNA from 1 species